rnacentral:misc_RNA from 1 species
AAGGAGUCUAACAUAUAUGCAAGUAUUUGGGUGGUAAACCCUUAUGCGUAGUGAAAGCGAAAAGGUGGGAUCCUUUAUUGGUGCACCAUCGGCCGCGCCAGAUUAUUACUAUCUCGGCGUGAGUAUGAGCAUACAUGCUGGGACCCGAAAGAUGGUGAACUAUGCCUGAAUAGGGUGAAGCCAGAGGAAACUCUGGUGGAGGCUCGUAGCGGUUCUGACGUGCAAAUCGAUCGUCAAAUUUGGGUAUAGGGGCGAAAGACUAAUCGAACCAUCUAGUAGCUGGUUCCCUC